GAGAUUGCUCAUCUCCUUCUGAUGGUGAUGCAGUCAGCCCAUUCUGACAUCAAGAGAGGUGCCCAUAAUGGCAAUGAGCUUGGAUCAACUAGGCAUAGCAGUGGUGACAACAAUGGUACAACCCAUCUUCUUUCCCUUUGCUGAUCUGCUCAGGGGAAGGGUGUUGCCAACAGAAUGUGGACAGUGGAUUGGGCCAAAUCAGACCAGAUUCAGAUGUCCAGACUGGACCAAAGUCUCAGGGUACUCCAUAGUUUCCAGCAAACUUCAUGCAGCAAGGAUAUGCUUCGCAAAAAGAUGGAAAGAAAAAUCAAUCCCAGAAGAAGAAGAAUGGAUAAUAAGAAUCUUGGAAAUAAGAAACAUGGAUAGACUUACCUACCUCAUAACAAAAAGCAAAGGAGAAGCAAUAAAAGAGAGAGAUUGGAGCCAAAUCACCAACUAUCUGAACAAAGAUUAUGAAGAGAUAGAAUAAGAAGAAAAGAAAAUAUAGACACCAACAUAAACAACAGAAAGAAGAUAGGAGAGCAGAGAAGAAAGAGAAGAUAAUCAAGAAAAAGGGAAAGGACGGAACCUCAAGGAAGAUGAUCGGAAGUCACUUUUUCAUUUUAAUCUCUUUUUUUCCUUUUUUUCUUCUUUUUUCUUUUUCUUUUUUGCUUUUUGCCCCCCUCCUACCUGUCCUUCCCCUACUUCCCCCUACCUCAACCCUCAAUCCCAUAACCUAGUAUCUGAUUUUAUCAUGUAUAUAAAACCGAAUAAAGAGAGGAGGCCUAGGUCUACCAAACUUUCAGCUUUA